CUACGGGAGGCAGCAGUGAGGAAUAUUGCACAAUGGGGGGAACCCUGAUGCAGCAACGCCGCGUGGAGGAUGACGCAUUUCGGUGUGUAAACUCCUUUUAUAUGUCAAGAAAAUGACGGUAGCAUAUGAAUAAGCACCGGCUAACUCCGUGCCAGCAGCCGCGGUAAUACGGAGGGUGCAAGCGUUACUCGGAAUCACUGGGCGUAAAGGACGCGUAGGCUGGCUGACAAGUCAGAUGUGAAAUCCUAUGGCUUAACCAUAGAACUGCAUUUGAAACUGUCAGUCUAGAGUAUGGGAGGGGGAGAUGGAAUUAGUGGUGUAGGGGUAAAAUCCGUAGAUAUCACUAGGAAUACCUAAAGCGAAGGCGAUCUCCUGGAACAUUACUGACGCUAAGGCGUGAAAGCGUGGGGAGCAAACAGGAUUAGAUACCCGAGUAGUCC
rnacentral:rRNA from 1 species